GGCGGGCCGCCCCGCAUUGUGAGCCUGUGAACCUGGUCAGGUCGGGAACGAAGCAGCCACAGCGGGUCCUUGCAAGUGCCGGGGGUCCGGCUCGCCCCC
rnacentral:SRP_RNA from 1 species